rnacentral:rRNA from 1 species
AGUUUGAUCCUGCUCAGAACGAACGCUGGCGGCAGCGUUAACACAUGCAAGUCGAGCGCACUCUUCGGAGUGAGCGGCAGACGGGUGAGUAACGCGUGGGAAUCUACCCAUCUCUACGGAAUAACUCAGGGAAACUUGUGCUAAUACCGUAUACGCUUCGGGGGAAAGAUUUAUCGGAGAUGGAUGAGCCCGCGUUAGAUUAGCUAGUUGGUGGGGUAAUGGCCUACCAAGGCGACGAUCUAUAGCUGGUCUGAGAGGAUGAUCAGCCACACUGGGACUGAGACACGGCCCAGACUCUACGGGAGGCAGCAGUGGGGAAUAUUGGACAAUGGGCGCAAGCCUGAUCCAGCCAUGCCGCGUGAGUGAUGAAGGCCCUAGGGUUGUAAAGCUCUUUCAACGGUGAAGAUAAUGACGGUAACCGUAGAAGAAGCCCCGGCUAACUUCGUGCCAGCAGCCGCGGUAAUACGAAGGGGGCUAGCGUUGUUCGGAAUUACUGGGCGUAAAGCGCACGUAGGCGGAUCGUUAAGUGAGGGGUGAAAUCCCAGGGCUCAACCCUGGAACUGCCUUUCAUACUGGCGAUCUUGAGUUCGAGAGAGNUGAGUGGAAUUCCGAGUGUAGAGGUGAAAUUCGUAGAUAUUCGGAGAACACCAGUGGCGAAGGCGCUCACUGCUCGAUACUGACGCUGAGUGCGAAAGCG